GUAAUUAUGAAUCCUGAUGUAUGUCAAAGCAACAUGACUUGUGGGCCUUGGUUCUUGGAUGCUCUCUAGGUUAAAUGAGUUCAAGUCAUGAGACAAAUUCAUUCAUGUGCAAUGCUUGUUUUCUUUGUUCCAGCUAGUAUAUAUUGGGAGGAGAAGAAUCUCAUAGACUUGUAUAUCAUCCUUCUCAGAUUUUCAAGGUAUUCAAUCUUCCCAAUUUACUAUCCGCAAUCCCAUUCAUUCAAUUGCUCUCUAAAUGUCAGCGAUUUCCUUUCAUCUAAUUGCUGACCAAUCAGUGAUUACGCUGUCCGGAACAGAUUGCUGAGCUUCGAUCAUUGCUACCAGAUCAAACAUAAGACCCGCAUCUUUCCAAGAAUGUGACAUGCAACAGAUGGUGUCGUAGCCAAGAGAGUGGAUUUGUCCUUAUUCCAGAUGCAGAAGUCCCCUUAUUCCUUGAGCUAGCAGCUGCUCUGUCUGGAAGUCACUUGGAAUUGCCAUGCUAUGAAUUUAAAGGAAUGGUUCUCUAAUGAUUCUAGGCGCUGCCCUUGUUGUUCCGAUCUUGCAAGUGAAUGUGAUUUGGGGAGAUGAAAGGAGAAGUUAUCGGUAUAGUUGUCAGAUGUGCAGGUGGACUACUGAUACUCGCAUCCAUUUUCUAUCCAUGGAUAAUGA